GGGCUGUAGCUCAGUGAAUAGAGCGCCCUGCCGCUAACGGGGAAGUCGCGGGUUUGAAUCCCGCCAGCCCCC
rnacentral:tRNA from 1 species